GUUUGCCUUGAAAUAAAUGAGGACUCUGAAGCAUGGGUUUAAUCAUAAGUAUUCUGAAGCAUUUUAGUGCAUAUAUUUUUUUGGGGAGAAAUUUUUCUAUAGGUUGAUAGUUUUAUGGAUUGAUAGGUUUGAAUCAAUCUAGGAGGCUCAACUGUUUUUAUUCAGUUAAAUCUGAAAGGAUAUGACAAACAUUUUUCUGCCAGCUAUUCUUGUGUUCAUUUACAUUUUUAAUUUGUUGAUGUUUUGACUUGUGGCACAGGUGAG
rnacentral:misc_RNA from 1 species